AGCUCAAGAUGUCUGCGCCCAUGAACACACGGCUCCCUUCCAAAGACGUUUAUUAUUUUACUAUACGAUCAAAUAUCUACCUGGUUGUGCUGAUUGCAGUGCUUACAUUUCUUCCAUGGAACACGGAGACAAUACUCGACAUCGUUUCUCAGACCUUGAGAUUCGUGCAAUCUUAAAAGGGGCUUGUUACUAUAUGUUAGCUACAUGCUUCUUUCAUGUAAUAGCUGUUCUUUAUGGGGCACCAUUUUUUGAAAAUAUUUCUCAGACCUUUCACUUUGGAGCUUUGUUGGCCAGCACUGCUGUUUUUCCAGGCCUGUGCAUCUUAGGGCUGAAUGUGUCAAACUGGAUAAGAGUAUUCUCACAAAAUGGAGCAGAUUUGGGACCAGAGUCUGUCAUACAGAUUAGUGCUGUGUCCUCCAUUGUUGGAGCCUGGGUUGGUGCAUUUCCUAUACCACUUGAUUGGGACAGGGAUUGGCAGGAGUGGCCUAUCACUUGUAUGGUUGGGAAUCUGCUCGGCUACAUGACAGGGCUAGUGAUAUCGGCAAUUCAUUUGUGUGUUCGCUAUAAUCAACUGAGGAAACACAAAGUCACCUAACUGAAAAAGGAGAAAACCAUUUCAUUGGCAACCAUAUGCAUGUGAACGAUAGUCAGAAUUUUAUAUUGGACACAAAGAAUUUGCUUAUAUGUGCAUGUAUAAAUGGGAAACGGGUGUCUGUGUUGUGUUGCAUCAUCACACUGUAUAUUAAAUUGUUACAUGAACAAAAAUCACUGAAAUAGUGCAUAAUGUAUUUGUAUUCAUAUUUAAUGAUUUGUUUUUCAUGAUGAAAUAUUUUUGGAUUUUUUUAUAUUCAUUUUAUACCUCUAGUCUUGAAAUAAAAACGUUACACUU
rnacentral:misc_RNA from 1 species